rnacentral:rRNA from 1 species
GACGGAGGAUGCAAGUGUUAUCCGGAAUCACUGGGCGUAAAGCGUCUGUAGGUGGUUUAAUAAGUCAACUGUUAAAUCUUGAGGCUCAACCUCAAAAUCGCAGUCGAAACUAUUAGGCUAGAGUAUAGUAGGGGUAAAGGGAAUUUCCAGUGGAGCGGUGAAAUGCGUAGAGAUUGGAAAGAACACCGAUGGCGAAGGCACUUUACUGGGCUAUUACUAACACUCAGAGACGAAAGCUAAGG